rnacentral:rRNA from 1 species
GAUUAAGUUAUUAAGGGCGCACGGUGGAUGCCUUGGCACUAGAAGCCGAUGAAGGACGUUACUAACGACGAUAUGCUUUGGGGAGCUGUAAGUAAGCUUUGAUCCAGAGAUUUCCGAAUGGGGAAACCCAGCAUGAGUUAUGUCAUGUUAUCGAUAUGUGAAUACAUAGCAUAUCAGAAGGCACACCCGGAGAACUGAAACAUCUUAGUACCCGGAGGAAGAGAAAGAAAAUUCGAUUCCCUUAGUAGCGGCGAGCGAAACGGGAAGAGCCCAAACCAACAAGCUUGCUUGUUGGGGUUGUAGGACACUCUAUACGGAGUUACAAAGGACGACAUUAGACGAAUCAUCUGGAAAGAUGAAUCAAAGAAGGUAAUAAUCCUGUAGUCGAAAAUGUUGUCUCUCUUGAGUGGAUCCUGAGUACGACGGAGCACGUGAAAUUCCGUCGGAAUCUGGGAGGACCAUCUCCUAAGGCUAAAUACUCUCUAGUGACCGAUAGUGAACCAGUACCGUGAGGGAAAGGUGAAAAGCACCCCGGAAGGGGAGUGAAAUAGAACCUGAAACCGUGUGCUUACAAGUAGUCAGAGCCCGUUAAUGGGUGAUGGCGUGCCUUUUGUAGAAUGAACCGGCGAGUUACGAUUUGAUGCAAGGUUAAGCAGUAAAUGUGGAGCCGUAGCGAAAGCGAGUCUGAAUAGGGCGUUUAGUAUUUGGUCGUAGACCCGAAACCAGGUGAUCUACCCUUGGUCAGGUUGAAGUUCAGGUAACACUGAAUGGAGGACCGAACCGACUUACGUUGAAAAGUGAGCGGAUGAACUGAGGGUAGCGGAGAAAUUCCAAUCGAACCUGGAGAUAGCUGGUUCUCUCCGAAAUAGCUUUAGGGCUAGCCUCAAGUGAUGAUUAUUGGAGGUAGAGCACUGUUUGGACGAGGGGCCCCUCUCGGGUUACCGAAUUCAGACAAACUCCGAAUGCCAAUUAAUUUAACUUGGGAGUCAGAACAUGGGUGAUAAGGUCCGUGUUCGAAAGGGAAACAGCCCAGACCACCAGCUAAGGUCCCAAAAUAUAUGUUAAGUGGAAAAGGAUGUGGCGUUGCCCAGACAACUAGGAUGUUGGCUUAGAAGCAGCCAUCAUUUAAAGAGUGCGUAAUAGCUCACUAGUCGAGUGACACUGCGCCGAAAAUGUACCGGGGCUAAACAUAUUACCGAAGCUGUGGAUUGUCCUUUGGACAAUGGUAGGAGAGCGUUCUAAGGGC